rnacentral:rRNA from 1 species
AAUGAACGUUGGCGGCAUGGAUUAGGCAUGCAAGUCGAGCGAGAAGUGUAGCAAUACACGGAAAGCGGCGGAAGGGAAAGUAAUACGUGGGAAUCUGCCCUUAGACCUGGGAUAGCAGCGGGAAACUGCUGGUAAUACCAGAUAAUGUCUAUGGACCAAAGGUGUGAUUCCGUCUAGGGAUGAGCCCACGUCCUAUUAGCUAGUUGGUAGGGUAAUGGCCUACCAAGGCGAUGAUGGGUAGCGGGUGUGAGAGCAUGACCCGCCUCACUGGGACUGAGACACUGCCCAGACACCUACGGGUGGCUGCAGUCGAGAAUCUUCGGCAAUGGGCGCAAGCCUGACCGGGCGAUGCCGCGUGCGGGAUGAAGGCCUUCGGGUUGUAAACCGCUGUCGAGGGGGAGCAACUUCCAUAGAGUUAUCUUUAUGGAUUGAGUGAUCCCUGGAGGAAGGACGGGCUAAGUUCGUGCCAGCCGCCGCGGUAAAAC